rnacentral:rRNA from 1 species
ACGGAGGGUGCAAGCGUUAAUCGGAAUUACUGGGCGUAAAGGGCACGUAGGCGGUUAAUUAAGUUGGGUGUGAAAUCCCCGGGCUCAACCUGGGAACAGCACUCAAGACUGGUAAGCUAGAGUCUUGUAGAGGGGGGUAGAAUUCCACGUGUAGCGGUGAAAUGCGUAGAGAUGUGGAGGAAUACCGGUGGCGAAGGCGGCCCCCUGGACAAAGACUGACGCUGAGGUGCGAAAGCGUGGGGAGCAAACAGG